GUCUGGCGUCAUCUAGGUCGCUGCUCAGGGAAAUGCGGAGGCCAGUAGGCUUACGUGUUUACCGCGUAGGGCAAAGCCUUGCCAAAUUCCCGGCCAGCGGAGCGGCGAGGGUGGGGACUCACGGGAAGUUAAACAGCCUCGUCGGCGUCCUCGAGGCUCCAAAACCAGGCUCUAGGCGGGGACGACUGCAGCCGUUAUGGAGGCCACCGCGGCUACGGCCGCGGCUGAGGCCUCCCCAGGUGGAGCGGUGGCCUGGAGGGGAAUCUUGAUCCUGGGCCAGCCACCUGUCAAGAGGAGGCGGAGCGUCAUGCCUCUGGAAGACUGGAUGAAUAUUCUCCAGGAGCCUGACGAAGGCGUGAGUAAUAGGGACGUGCGCCGCCUUGUUGGUGUUGAUCAGUCCACCAAGGAGAAGCAGCUGGUCGCAGUGGCCGUACCUGUAAUCCCAGCGCUUUGGGAGGCCGCGGCGGGAGGAUCGCUUGAGCCCGGGAGUUCGAGACCAGCCUGGGCAACAUAGUGAGAAACCCGUCUCUACCAAAAAGAAAAAAAAAAAAAAAGGAAAAAAAUUAGUGCGGUGUGGUGGCACGCACCUGUAGUCCCAGCUACUCGGGAGGCUGAAGCGGGAGGGUCCCCUAAGUCUAGGAGGUCGAGGCUUCAGUGAGCGGUGAUUGUGCCACUGCACUCCAGCCUGGGCGACAGAGCAAGACCCUGCUUUCCCCUCUUGUCCUCCACUACCCUCAGGAAACCAAGAAAGACCAGCGUGGAGAGUUGGUCGCCCAUCUGCUCUAAGCUGCUGUGUAUUCCCCUGUAAUGUAAACAUCGUGAAGGUGGAGACCCAGUUAACCUUUUAGGUGGAAGGCCAGAUGACAGAGGGCGGCAUCUGACCCGGAAGGCCCUCUGCAACCAGGCCAAAUACAUCUACAGGGAACCAAUGGGAAACAUCUGGGGAGGACAACCCAAAUAAGUAUCAUGCGAGCAAGGGAUGGUUUGAGAACUUUAAAAAUCGCUGCUGUUUUGCAACAUACGAAGUUGAUGGGGAGGAAGGACCCUUAAAUCCUGAGUGGGUAUCGAGUAUUCCAAGCAACUGGAGAGAGGCUUUGUGCCUCAACAGGUCUUCAACGCCAAGGAGAUGACCCAUCUUUUGCAGUGCAUGCCUUCCUACUUUUGGGGCAAAAGACAAAAAUCUGGAAAGCUUAGAGGAAGCUAAGGACAGGAUUUCCCUCAUUUUUUUGUGGCAGUGCCUCAGGUGACAAAAUGAUAAAACCACUGCUGCUUUACAAAGACUCUAACACCCCACUUGUCUUUUAGAGAUAAACGCCUUCCUGUUUUCUUGUAAUCACACCCAGAAUCACCACUGCCACUUUUUGGAUUAGUUUUACAAUUUUUUUAUCCAUCAAAUCCGAAGUCAUUUAACAAAAAAAAUCUGGAAAUCAGAAUGUUGCUAACUGUGGACAGAGGUCCCAAUCACCCAGAUUCAUUAUUCUUUGUUCAUUCUAAUGUUGAUACUGUGUUUCUCCCUCAGGAAGGCCCUAGCUUUCUUCAGCCCUUGGGUCAGGGUAUAACUGAAGCAUUUGAACAUAAUCAAGCAUAUGUUUGACCACUUUGCUGACUGUAUUGAAAAAACCCUCACCUUACUCUGAAAGAAGCAUGGCAACAGUACAAUAUUGCCGAUGCUUUGGUAGUGAUAAAAGAGGUGAUGGGUGAUAUAAAAUCAGCCACUCUUAAGCUUGCUGGAAACUGUGGGAGGAUGUGUGAAUGAUGCAUAUUUCCCUAGAGCUAAUGAAGAAGUUAAAAAAAAUCUUAGUGUCUGCAAAACAGGUGGGUUUAAGAUUUAUUGAUAUUAGGGAAAGUGAAAUUAAUGAGCUACUCAAGUUUCUGUCUUUGGUCAUCACUGAGAGUCUAUUUCCAUAGGAAGAAGUCUUUGCAGAGGAAAUUGAAUGCUGUCUGAUGCUACAAUUCAUAUGGAUCCUUUCCUGGAUUGAAGCCUGACUUUUAAAAAAGGUUUCAAUAAAUUGCUUAUACCUAUGAAGAGAUGCAAAAGAACCUUCAAAAUAAAGCAAAGGACUUGAAGAAAGAGAAGGAAGACAUGAAGAAGAGGAUGUCAUUUAGGUGAAGGUGAUGGAUACAGAAUCUGAGUCUGAGGGGAGCCUGGUUGACAGAGAGACAAAAAAAGAAAUUUUUUUUUUCUGACUAAAAAAAAAAAGGAAAUUUUGUUAACAAAAUCAAGAAUUUAAAAAAAAUGCUGUGAGAGCUGAUCUAUGCA
ensembl:lncRNA CUTALP cutA divalent cation tolerance like, pseudogene